GUACCUUCGCACGAGGAAGAAAAUGGCGAUUAAUGGUAAAUCCAAACUUUGUUUUUGGACAGGAAGAAAUCAACCGCCGACAACACGCUUGGGUCCAAACUCGUCCUUGGUACCUAAGCCGUACGUGUUCUUCGCCUUGGACAAACUCAAAGCCUAAGAGAAAUGUGAAAACAGUCAAAUAGAAGGGCAAGUCCGUCGAACACCGAAAAGUGAUCUUGUUGGAAGUUGAACUUCGUGUUGAGAGACAGGCUUUGGCCACAGGCAAGAAUGAACAAAGGAAAAAAAUCAUACAAUAAUAGAAGAUAAAGAUGAAAAGAACCACAAGGGAGAGGAUAAAAGAUAACUUUUUUUGGCGAGACAUUUGAUGACAGACAGAUGACCGACAAUUGAACUCAAAGUCAAGCAUAAGCACGAAACAAAAACACAAGAGGCUUGACAAAGAGCUAUCAAGUCGAAAGAAAAGUUUAAAGAAGAGGUAGAAGAUAAAUUUUUUUAGGGAUUGAUUUUCGGUCAAAAUGUUUUUAAACCUUUUUUUUGAGCAAUUUAUUUUCGAUGUCCAUAAACAAACAUGUUUAGAACAACCAAUUCUAAUUCUAAUUUUCUUAGUCACCUGUACAUUUUAUUUGAUGGAAAACGUUUCCGUUAGUAAGGUCUGUUCAAUUUUCAAUUUUCCCGCCAAAAAACUUAGAAAAAUACAGGCGCCCAAAAUACGCAU